GACGAACGCUGGCGGCGUGCUUAACACAUGCAAGUCGAACGAGUGGCGAACGGGUGAGUAAUACGUGGGUAACCUGCCUUCUUUUUGGGAUAAGCCUUGGAAACGGGGUCUAAUACCGAAUAAUGGGGGAUGUGCUGGCGGCCUAUCCGUUGGCUGGUGGGGUGAUGGCCUACCAAGGAGGUGACGGGUAGCUGGCCUGAGAGGGUGACCGGCAACAUUGGGAGUGAGAUACGGCCCAGGGUCCUACGGGAGGCAGUAGGGGGGGAUAUUGCACAAGGGGCGAAGUCCUGAUGCAGCGACGGCGGGUGGGGGAUGGAGGCUUACGGGUUGUAAACCUCUUUAGCUAACGAACGGGUAGGUGGAAAAAAAGCGCCGGCUAACUACGUGCCAGCCGCCGCGGUAAUAC
rnacentral:rRNA from 1 species